UGUUUCCGGUCAACAUUUUUAUUUCAAAUAUUGGUUCUAAGGAUAACAUAGGCCCUAAAUUUAGCUAUGGUAAUAGUUUUUCUUCGUAUGAAUGAGUAAAAGUGGUAUAAAAUAUGGAUUAAAGUUGAGGAAAAAUCACGUGACUUAGAAAUGGAUGCUGAUUGGUCUUGACGUGUGAGCGUAGGUACGGAGCCCGCCAACAACAAAAACAAUUGUGUUUCUCCAAGAGUUUGAGGUAGCUGGUUGUACUUAUAGAGGUUUCUAGUCACUAGCAACGUCUGGAAACGUGACUCGUAGUCAUUGGUGCUUCGUGCCGAUGUGCAAGAAUACUGACAAGAGUACUCCAGGGAAGAUAUUUGUGUCUGUGCCAAGUCAUCCAUCUAUAAGAAAAGGCUGGUGGCUCGCAACUUGAUGCGAUUUUCCCAUGUCCAAGGCUCAUAUUUACUGCUGUGAAGAUCAUUUCAACCUAAAAGAAGACAUGGAGAGCUACUUAUAUUACACCAUGAUGGGAGGACACAUCAGGCUACACCCUCACAAGUUCGACUGCCAGGGGAAGAUCACACCUCAGAAUGAGAACAGGGACAGGUUGCAGAGGAAGAGGAAGGUUCUGGAGAUUUUUUCUUCAAAAGAAAACUUAAUGGAACCUCACCAAAUUAAGUGUCCAUAAAGCAUCACCUCAGCCAGACCAUGUGGAUCAGAGGAUGGAGCAUGAUGGGCAUGUUGAUCCUGAGCCACUCACCCCUUCUACACAGGACACUGGAAUACAAGUGCAGGUAUAUCCAAGAAAAAGGUCCAAGGGGGUGCAAGUUCAACCAGUGAAGCCAGAUGCGAUGAACAACACAGAUGGUCACAUGGUGGGCAAGAUGAAGAAAACUGAAAGUACAUCUGAGGAUUCUGUUUCCACAUCACAAAGUAGUCAUGUAGAUCAUGAUAAAAGUAGACUAUGUACCAUUAGACAGUACUUCCAGUAGUGAUGAUGAAGAGAACUUUAAAAAAUUAACUCUGUACACAACAAGAAAAUUAAUACUGAAACAUCCAAUGGAAUACAUUGGACUACACAAGAAGCAUUUGUAUAUUUUAGAUAUUUUGUGUAGUCAUGUAACCUACAAAGAAAGGGGACAAAUUAUUUCAAACAAAGAUGUGGUAUUAAUUAUGCUAAUGACUAUUCGUACAGGAUCACCAGAGUACAUGAUUGCACACAGGUUUGGUGUCAGCAACAGCUGUGUUAGUCGCAUCCUUACUCACUUUCUACCUGUCAUAAGCGGUUGUUUGAAAGAGCUAAUUUUCUGGUCACCAUCCGAGACCAUUAGAACAAGGCUUCCACACUCUUUCAAAGCUUACCAUCAUAAGGUGGAAAGUAUCAUUGAUUGCUUUGAAAUACAGAUAGAAAAGCCAUCCUCUGCCAUGACAAAGAGUAUGACUUGGUCUGAUUACAAGAAAUGUAAUACUGUGAAGUAUCUAGUGUCUGUAACUCCAGAUUGAUUAAUUAAUUUCAUAUCCACUGAUAAGC